CGCCUGUAGGGGGUCCCGGUGGAUGUCCGUCCGACGGGUGACGAGGGUGACCCCAGACGAGGCGGCUUAAUUGGGAUGGGAACUGACUGGUGAGGCUUAAUCGUCGACCAAUGGGUCGAAUCUGCAUAAGGAAGGCAACCAGCACACACUCGCAGGCGGGUCAUGGAAACAUUUUUUUGUUUUUUCUCUUGGUCUGCCCCGCGUCGAAUUUUGAAGGCAGAAAAUGUCGGGAGGAGGCGAGCAUAACCAGGCCUAACUUAAACCUGUUAAAAGACAACCCGGGUUCGCAGCGCGAUUUUAAAAAACAAGACUGAAGAAGUCAGAAAUUCUAUCUACAUGCUGCAUAUGAUCAGUCCCAAAAAAUUUCGGAUUGUUCCAGGCACCGUCGAAUACCUGGAAAACGUGUUUAUUGUCAACUCUACAGGAUCGACCGAAGUCCAUGGAGUUGGGGGCAUUCGAUGUGCCCCAUAGCAGUGAGACGCCACUGUUUUUUUCGCCGUAUAAUUAUUAUGGUGGGACUCAAAAUGAACUUAAGCAAGAUGUGAUGGUGAUACAGUAUGGCUUGAAGAACUUCAAAAGUCGGUUCGCGUCGUGGUUCCAAAGCAGUAACUUUAGGUUCCCUACAUUUACUUGCAUUAAGUACUCAUUUUUUAAUGUGCAAUUUUUACAUUUCAUUUUUACUUUUUUCUUACUCUAUACAAGGCUUUAAUAUAAAGUU
rnacentral:lncRNA from 1 species